AACACAAAGAAAUCUAGCCUAACAUGUCGUGAAGAAGAAAACAAAAGAUAUGAAAAUUGUUCAUCAUCCGAAAAAUCUUGAAUUCAAUUUUAGUGUUCUUGAAUCUCGAUGUGUUCUUUACCUCCUUUUGCAAUUGAUUCUCCACAACCCUAAUUAUGUGUUGGGAAUUGAUAUUUAUAGUACUUUUCAAUAUGUGCCGCCCAAGGAGAUGUUUCCCUUUUGGAUUGAAA
rnacentral:lncRNA from 1 species